rnacentral:miRNA from 1 species
UUGUGUGAGGUUUCUUUUUGUUUC